GACGAACGCUGGCGGCGUGCUUAACACAUGCAAGUCGAACGGAAAGGCCCUGCUUUUGUGGGGUGCUCGAGUGGCGAACGGGUGAGUAACACGUGAGUAACCUGCCCUUGACUUUGGGAUAACUUCAGGAAACUGGGGCUAAUACCGGAUAGGAGCUCCUGCUGCAUGGUGGGGGUUGGACAGUUUCGGCGGUUGGGGAUGGACUCGCGGCUUAUCAGCUUGUUGGUGGGGUAGUGGCUUACCAAGGCUUUGACGGGUAGCCGGCCUGAGAGGGUGACCGGCCACAAUGGGACUGAGAGACGGCCCAGACUCCUACGGGAGGCAGCAGUGGGGAAUAUGGCACAAUGGGCGGAAGCCUGAUGCAGCAACGCCGCGUGCGGGAUGACGGCCUUCGGGUUGUAAACCGCUUUCGCCUGUGACGAAGCGUGAGUGACGGUAAUGGGUAAAGAAGCACCGGCUAACUACGUG
rnacentral:rRNA from 1 species